UGACUCAAGUCUUAAUCCAAUUAGUGUUCCCUGAAGUUGGAUCUGGAACCUUGAUAGGCGAACAGUGUAUUUUGGAACCUCCAUACCAUCCAUAUUCAAAGGUUUAUCAACACGAGAAAUUCAACAAUGCUUUUGGAGUGGAUCUGUCUGUGUGCGAGGAUUUGACCGGGAAAAG